UACGUAGGGGGCAAGCGUUGUCCGGAAUCAUUGGGCGUAAAGAGCGUGUAGGCGGCCCGGUAAGUCCGCUGUGAAAGUCCAGGGCUCAACCCUGGGAUGCCGGUGGAUACUGUCGGGCUCGAGUUCGGAAGAGGCGAGUGGAAUUCCCGGUGUAGCGGUGAAAUGCGCAGAUAUCGGGAGGAACACCUAUGGCGAAGGCAGCUCGCUGGGACGUUACUGACGCUGAGACGCGAAAGCGUGGGGAGCAAACAGG
rnacentral:rRNA from 1 species